GAUGAAGAACGCAGCGAAAUGCGAUACGUAAUGUGAAUUGCAGAAUUCAGUGAAUCAUCGAGUCUUUGAACGCACAUUGCGCCCCCUGGUAUUCCGGGGGGCAUGCCUGUCCGAGCGUCAUUGCUGCCCUCAAGCACGGCUUGUGUGUUGGGCCUCCGUCCUCCUCCCGGGGGACGGGCCCGAAAGGCAGCGGCGGCACCGCGUCCGGUCCUCGAGCGUAUGGGGCUUCGUCACCCGCUCUUGUAGGCCCGGCCGGCGCUUGCCGACACCUCAAUCUUUUUUCCAGGUUGACCUCGGAUCAGGUAGGGAUACCCGCUGAACUUAAGCAUAUCAAUAAGCGGAGGA
rnacentral:misc_RNA from 1 species